AUCCAGAAGAUGAGUCCCAAAUAGGACGAAAUCUGCGUCCUGUAC
rnacentral:hammerhead_ribozyme from 1 species